rnacentral:rRNA from 1 species
GACAGAGGUGCCAAGCGUUAGGCGGAAUCACUGGGCUUAAAGCGUGUGUAGGCGGAUCGUUAAGUACCUUGUGAAAUCCCACGGCUCAACCGUGGAACUGCUGGGUAUACUGGCGGUCUUGAGCCAGCUAGGGGCUACCGGAACAAAUGGUGGAGCGGUGAAAUGCGUAGAUAUCAUUUGGAACGCCAAUGGUGAAAACAGGUAGCUGGGGCUGUGCUGACGCUGAGACACGAAAGCCAGGGGAGCGAACGGG